GUUUGAUCCUGGCUCAGGACGAACGCUGGCGGCGUGCCUAAUACAUGCAAGUCGAACGCAUUUUCUUUCACCGUAGCUUGCUACACCGAAAGAAAAUGAGUGGCGAACGGGUGAGUAACACGUGGGUAACCUGCCCAUCAGCGGGGGAUAACACUUGGAAACAGGUGCUAAUACCGCAUAAUUCCAUUUACCGCAUGGUAGAUGGGUGAAAGGCGCUUUUGCGUCACUGAUGGAUGGACCCGCGGUGCAUUAGCUAGUUGGUGGGGUAACGGCCUACCAAGGCUGCGAUGCAUAGCCGACCUGAGAGGGUGAUCGGCCACACUGGGACUGAGACACGGCCCAGACUCCUACGGGAGGCAGCAGUAGGGAAUCUUCGGCAAUGGACGCAAGUCUGACCGAGCAACGCCGCGUGAGUGAAGAAGGUUUUCGGAUCGUAAAACUCUGUUGUUAGAGAAGAACAAGGAUGAGAGUGGAAAGUUCAUCCCUUGACGGUAUCUAACCAGAAAG
rnacentral:rRNA from 1 species